CCUGAAGUGGGUGGAAAAUUUACGCAUCCCACCAUCGCUGGAUUUACCCACCCACAAUGCAUUUGUUUGCAUUAAGCACUUCGAACAAAGUGCUGUGUGUGUGAAAAAGUUGAAGGCACAGGCUGUGCCCACCCUAAACCUUGGUAAGUGAUGUUUUUUUAAAUCUAAAAUGUGCAUGAGUUUUAUUUUGUAGAUACAUACAUACAUAUAAGUACUUGUACAUAUCGCUCAUUUACAUGAAAAGUGUCUAUAUAAUUUUGUGCUUGUAACUCAAAGUCUUUUUCUUCGCGGAGUGUCACUUAUGAUGGAAAUAAUGUAUUACUUUAACUUUACCCCGUUGAUCCGCGCCUGCAUGUAUAGUAUGUUCAAUAUAUUUGAACAUAGAUAUUUAAUAUUUUUCUAAUUAAAAUUUAAUUAAUUUAAUUUAAUUCUAAUUUUUCUAAUUAAAAGAAUUUUCGACAGAUAUAUUAUAAAAUUGUUUAAAAUUUAUCAAACUGGAAACAGUGGGUUGAAUUUGAUUUAAAAUUAUAUUUAAAUUUUAAUUAGCUUUAUAUAUACAUACGUACAUAUUGGAAUUUCUUUAAAAUUUUUUUAUGUACAUAAAUAGGAUACGACGAACCCCCUAAGCAUUUGUGGACAAUUGAGUCGCCGGUUCGAAGAUGCUGCAUUUCGAAUUGCGUUAACAGGCAGAAAACGCUCUACAAAUUUCCUAAAGAGAAAGAUGUUCGAGAAAGUUGGGCAAAGGCUUGCAACUUAGUUGUGUCGCCUUCCGAUAGUUUUUUUAUUUGUCGAAACCAUUUCGAUUCGCAGUACGUUGCCAAAUUCAAACUUUUGCCAGGGGCUUUUCCCUGUUUCAGAUUAGGUUCAGCACUAAGUCGUAGCUUAUCUAGUGCUUACUCAAUUUGGGUGUGCCCGCCCGUUUCUAAAACUUAUGGUUGUCCUGAGGUAGCUGUACGACAUAACUUUGAAGGAAUUCGAAACAUAUUCAAUUUUAGAACAAAGGAGAUUAGAAUUAGAACCCCAAAAUGACGACGUAGGCUAUGCAUUAGAUAGUCGUGAACGAUUUGCUCGAUCGGCACGUUACUAUCAAAGUAAUGCGCUUAAAUUGAAUGAGAAGAUCAGUUGGAGUUGGAGGAUAUUAUUAAAGAUUUGGAAAAAAGGUAUCAAGACCUUAGUAAAUGUGCAAUAGCUGCGGAUGUAAAUUCAAGCAAAGAUGCUGUAACAUUCGCUAGGAUGAUCGUCGCGAAGCGCACUAUUUUCAGUGACGAUGAAAGGGCAUUGGCACAAAACAUUAAUUACAUGUCCAAUAAAUCCUAUAAUUUUAUGGGUGACGAUUUAGGUUUCGCUUUACCAAGCAAGAGCUCUCUUUUGCGAUGGCGCCCCAUAAAGUAUGUUGUCCCUGGGUUCGAUGCCAAUUUAUUUUAGAAAAAAAUACAAAAGAAAUGUCCGUUUUAGAACGAAAUUGCGUUCUAUUAUUUGAUGAAAUAUCAAUUAAGACCGGUAUAACAUACAAUAGAGUUAGGGAUGUUAUUGACGGGUUUGUGGAUUAUGGGGAAGGCCAUCGUGAAAUGAAAUUAUGUAGGAAGUGUUGUUUUUUCAUGAUAAAAGGGUUGAGUUCCAAUUGGAAAUAUGUGUUUUCAUAUUAUAUUUCCAAAAGUGGACUUCCUACAUUCAAAUUACAUGAAAUUUUGAAUAAGAACAUCACAGCACUAAAGUCGAUUGGUCUAAACGUAAAAGCUUUAGUCUGUGAUCAAGGGCCCGCUAAUAUUUCAGUUAUGAAUUAUUUAAAUAUUUCUGAAGAAAAACCCUUUUAUUUGCACGAAGGUUCCAAGAUAUAUUGUUUAUAUGACUAUUGCCAUCUUUUUAAGUCCGCCCGAAAUACAUUUAUGAAAUAUGAUAUUUCAACUCCAGAUGGCCAGCUUUAAAGUUAUAAAAAAACUUUACUCCAUAGAUCAGGACAAUACAUGUUUCACGAUAUGUCCAAAACUCACAGAGGCCCACGUAUAUCCUAGCGUUUUUGAAAAAAUGUCCGUAAAACGUGCAAUCCAAGUUCUGAGCAAUUCGGUUGCGGCUGGCAUAGAAAUGGCCGAUAGCCAAAAUUUAUUCGGCUCCGACGAAUAUAUAUUAAAUGUGCAAAGCCUACGCAGUUAUUUGUUAAAAAAUGAAUGAUCUGUUCGAUGAUCUAGACUGCAAAAAUUUUGUUUCAACAAAAUCCCUUAAAAUAUCCGUUAUUAAAGAACGACUCCGGGAAGGUCCAACGCCUCUAUGAAUACAUUAAUUAUUUGAAAUCAAUCAAACUUCCGAGCAUUGCUCACAGUAGGUGUAUAGGUGGGUUCUGUUCCACAAUUGUUGGAAUGAUUCAGUUGAGCCAAGAAUUAUUUAGGGAUCAAAAGGAAUUAAGUUUUAUAUUUCUUGGGAAAAUGAACCAAGAUGCGUUGGAAAAUUUUUUUUAUAGAGUCCGGGCUAGCCAGGGUAUCAAUACCCAUCCGUCUGCCAAUGAGAUACAAUAUAUAGUAGGUCGUUUAAUUUCGAUGAAAAUUUUGGGGCAAAAGUUUCAAAAUAAGGGGGCUAAUUGUGAGGAUGAUAAAUUUAGAUUGGAACUUGGGCCCCGAAGAUCGUCAUCUAGAAGUACAGGGAGUUGAACACGAAUCUGAGCAACUCGACCUGGAAUCGUUUACUAUUUCAAACGAAAACUUUGUUGAAGAGGACGACACAGCUGACGUCCAUAUCAAGCGGUAUUACACUGGCUAUGGUAUUUACCAAAAAAAUUUUGUAUAAAAUCCAUUGCGAAAAAUGCGCUAAGGCAAUGACGAAGACACAAAGUGAUUUAUCGCUUUAUUCGGAGGCCCUAAUCAAAGCGAAAAACUAUAAGGAUGACGCGGAUUUAAGGCUAGUCAAUCCAAGUGAUAGGGUCUUCGAAGUGUGACGACUGCAGAUGAUGUGGUACGUCAACCUUUUCAACAAAUAUGCUCACAGUUCAAAUGUUCGAUGUCUGAUGUUGUCCGUAAUUAAAGAAAAAACGGAAAAUUUUUUCCUGAGUUGUUUGACCCAACCGAUGAGUGUUUUACUCAUAAAAUUAAGUUGUUAGAAUACUUGGUAAUGGUACUUUUAUUCAAAAUCUCGAAAUGGUUAGUAAAAGAAGAAAUUAAUAAUGAACGACAUUGGAAGCGCGAUGCUAAGCUAAAAAAACUAAAGUAAGUUGCAAGUCAAGACCGUUUGAUUUAAGAACAUCUUACUUUUGGGUUUUUUUAUUUUCAGCUUUUUCCUCUAUUUUCAGGCUUAUCUCGUUGUAUUUUCAGGUACUUUUUUCUUCUUCUUAUUUUUCUCCUUUUUAGCUCUGCAACUGAGCUUGGCUUUUUUAAACACAAAUGUUGUUUCCAUCUUGUUUAAGUGCAACAUUUGUUUUUAAAAAAGCAAGUGAAAUUCAAUGACUUUUUUAUAUAUUAAGUCGUGUGAGAAAUUUCCAUUUCAAAUGGACAAUUUCGUAAUUCUGCAUUAUAAUUUU